CUAGGGUGAAGCGCGCGUGCGGCUGUAGAGGCCUGGUUGGAAAGGCUCAAAUCCAACGACGUAGAAGAUGUGUGUAAGCGAGCGCUUCUUCGUACUUCUGCAAACAUUGUGAUUCCCACCCGUCUUGUAUUUCAUGGAUCUCCAGGCCACUUUGCAAACCUCUUCAAAUAAAGAACUCGGGCUCUGCGCAUGUGCACACUGGGAACAGGCUCCCACUGUUCUUCUGGCUCGCUGCUGUCAGACUCCAGAGGCUGCACAUAACUAUCAGAUGGCCUUGGCUCCCUCUCAGCCUCCAAUGCAGAACCCUCGUCCGAGUUUUCUCCAGACCCCAGGACUGGCCCAAGUUCUUCCCCAACGUCCUCACUGUCCAAUUCAGCUGCCAGCUCCGCUGGCCGCCGGCGGGCCACAACACAAAGAAGGAGUGUUAUGCAUGUUUGCCAUCUUGAGUUAUAAUAAAAGUGGAAUAAAAAGCUAAUAAAUAAUUUCAUACAAA